UCCUCCGACUCCCAACGGCACGGAACACACCGAACAGACUCGAGUCACCGACCUCGCCAGACUGUCCUACGGCCGAUAAUGUUACGGUCCGGCACUGUUGUUCCUGUCCCCGCUUGUUUUCCUUUUCCCUUUUUCCCUGUGUGUGUUGUCUGUGUCUGUCUCCUCCUGCUGUGCAGCCCAGUCAGAGGAUCUAGGUCAGGGGGCGUGGCCAUUCUCUCACCUGCUCAGUUACCUCCAGCUGCAGCUCAUUGUCACCAAUCAACAAGCAGUUAUCUACCCGGGCUGGCCACCUCUCCAGCGCCAGUUCGUUCCUACACCACCUGUGAUCCUGUCUGUUCCUGCUGCCUGCCUGCCUGCCACUCCCACGCCGCAACCUGCUCAUCUGUUGUCUGAUAUCCUCGUCAUCCAGCUCUCAGUGCUACUGGCUCUCCACCCCACUCAGCUCCUAUCCCGGUCUGAAGCUGCUCCACCCUGAACUGUUUUCUCUCAGCCAAAACACGCUGAAUAAACAACAUCUUAAUACAC